CGGUGGGGGGGGGUGGGAAGGUUCCAGUUUUCCCUGGAAUGAAUUGUCAAAACUUUCCCCUCCAGGCUUGAAACGGGUUCCCCUCUGAGCAGCUCAGCACAUUGUCAAACCGGUCUUGACUUGAAAGACAUAUGGCAUCAGCAUGGAAGAUGUCAUGAGCUGGUGCAGAGGAUGAGACGACAAGGUCAUAGGAAGGUCGGAAAGAACAAACAGCGGAAGACCUCAGAAGUGUGAGGAGCAGAGACAACAACAGCAGCGGCACAGGUAAUCGAGGGUCUGACGUGGGCGAUGUAGCUCCACGCACUGGGGGGAGGAGCUCCUGCAUCCUCCCUACUAAACUCAAUUACACAGGUAUGUAUU
rnacentral:lncRNA from 1 species